rnacentral:rRNA from 1 species
AAAGGUGAAAUUGGGUUAUUUUUACUUAUGAGUGGACUGAAAUUGAAACUAGAAAUUUUUAGGCUUAAACUAGGAUUAGAUACCCUACUAUACUAAAAAGUGAAAAUAAAGCUAGAUUAUUAGUAGAUAUAUUCUUUAAAUUUAAAGAAUUUGGCGGUGGUUUAGUCUUGUCAGAGGAACCUGUUUUUGAAUCGAUAAUCCACGUGGAAUCUUACUUGAGUCUAUAUACCGUCAUUAGCAGAUAAUUUUUAGAAAAAGUAAUUAUUGGGAUUUAUUGAAUAAUAAAAAUUAGAUCAAGGUGUAGCUUAUGAACAAGUUAAAAUGGGUUACAAUAAAUUAUAUUUAUAACGGAGUAGUUACUAAAAAGGAGGAUUUGAUUGUAUGUAAGUUUAAUAUGCUUAAGAGAUAUAAGCUCUAAACCAUGUACAUAUCGCCCGUCGCUUUC